rnacentral:rRNA from 1 species
CUCCAGAGUUUGAUCAUGGCUCAGAUUGAACGCUGGCGGCAGGCCUAACACAUGCAAGUCGAACGGUAACAGGAAACAGCUUGCUGUUUCGCUGACGAGUGGCGGACGGGUGAGUAAUGUCUGGGAAACUGCCUGAUGGAGGGGGAUAACUACUGGAAACGGUAGCUAAUACCGCAUAAUGUCGCAAGACCAAAGAGGGGGACCUUCGGGCCUCUUGCCAUCGGAUGUGCCCAGAUGGGAUUAGCUAGUAGGUGGGGUAACGGCUCACCUAGGCGACGAUCCCUAGCUGGUCUGAGAGGAUGACCAGCCACACUGGAACUGAGACACGGUCCAGACUCCUACGGGAGGCAGCAGUGGGGAAUAUUGCACAAUGGGCGCAAGCCUGAUGCAGCCAUGCCGCGUGUAUGAAGAAGGCCUUCGGGUUGUAAAGUACUUUCAGCGGGGAGGAAGGGAGUAAAGCUAAUACCUUUGCUCAUUGACGUUACCCGCAGAAGAAGCACCGGCUAACUCCGUGCCAGCAGCCGCGGUAAUACGGAGGGUGCAAGCGCUAAUCGGAAUUACUGGGCGUAAAGCGCACGCAGGCGGUUUGUUAAGUCAGAUGUGAAAUCCCCGGGCUCAACCUGGGAACUGCAUCUGAUACUGGCAAGCUUGAGUCUCGUAGAGGGGGGUAGAAUUCCAGGUGUAGCGGUGAAAUGCGUAGAGAUCUGGAGGAAUCCCGGUGGCGAAGGCGGCCCCCUGGACGAAGACUGACGCUCAGGUGCG